rnacentral:rRNA from 1 species
AAUAGAUACCCAGGUAGUCCACGCCGUAAACGAUGAGUGCUAGGUGUUAGGGGGUUUCCGCCCCUUAGUGCUGCAGCUAACGCAUUAAGCACUCCGCCUGGGGAGUACGGUCGCAAGACUGAAACUCAAAGGAAUUGACGGGGGCCCGCACAAGCGGUGGAGCAUGUGGUUUAAUUCGAAGCAACGCGAAGAACCUUACCAGGUCUUGACAUCCCGCUGACCGCCAUGGAGACAUGGCCUUCCCUUCGGGGGCAGCGGUGACAGGUGGUGCAUGGUUGUCGUCAGCUCGUGUCGUGAGAUGUUGGGUUAAGUCCCGCAACGAGCGCAACCCUUGUCCUUAGUUGCCAUCAUUCAGUUGGGCACUCUAAGGAGACUGCCGUACAAAUACGGAGGAAGGUGGGGAUGACGUCAAAUCAUCAUGCCCCUUAUGACCUGGGCUACACACGUGCUACAAUGGGUGGUACAAAGGGCAGCAAACCCGCGAGGGGGAGCGAAUCCCAAAAAGCCACUCUCAGUUCGGAUUGCAGG